rnacentral:misc_RNA from 1 species
CCCUGCUUGGGCAGCGACGUCGUGCCUUGCUAGCCUCUUCAGUCGGUUGUCCAAGUGCGUGCUUGCCUUGGCCGUCGUUGGUUUCCUGUGUUGUAUACCUGCCUGAGGGCAUUCGGUUGGCUAAAACGUCCCUUUUCGCCUUGUGCUGUGCCUCUCGGGGCUACGGUGCGGGGUGGACCUCAAAGCAUCCGCCGUGUUCCACUUYCCGUGCGUUUUCAUACGUGUUCGGGUGGUUGGCCCAUGGCGCCAUGCUCGGUCUCUYGGAUGCGGAAAAUCGAGUGGGCACGAGGCCCUCGGCCCCUAUUUGCCCCAAAACAAAGCGUUYUACGCUUCGUGCGAAUGACGUCCGGCUUCGUUUUGUCCUAGUCCAUGGGCUUGGGGCAUGCGGUGCCGGCGUCAAUGAGGAAUGCUAC